rnacentral:rRNA from 1 species
AGGAUGAACGCUGGCGGCGUGCCUAACACAUGCAAGUCGAACGCUCUCCAUUCGGUAGCAAUACUGAUGAAGAGGGAGUGGCGAACGGGUGAGUACCACGUGAGCAACCUGCCCCGAAGACUGGGACAACACCGGGAAACCGGUGCUAAUACCGGAUAUCCCUAUCGGAUCGCAUGAUCUGAUAAGGAAAUGGAUUCCGCUUCGGGAGGGGCUCGCGGCCUAUCAGCUAGUUGGUGAGGUAAUAGCUCACCAAGGCAUCGACGGGUAGCUGGUCUGAGAGGACGAUCAGCCACACUGGGACUGAGACACGGCCCAGACUCCUACGGGAGGCAGCAGUGGGGAAUCUUGCGCAAUGGGCGAAAGCCUGACGCAGCAACGCCGCGUGGAGGACGAAUGCUUUCUGAGUUGUAAACUCCUUUCAGCAGGGACGAUUGUGACGGUACCUGCAGAAGAGCACCGGCCAACUACGCG